UACGUAGGGUGCGAGCGUUGUCCGGAAUUAUUGGGCGUAAAGGGCUCGUAGGCGGUUUGUCGCGUCGGGAGUGAAAACCUUGGGCUUAACUCAGGGCUUGCUUUCGAUACGGGCAGACUAGAGGUAUGCAGGGGAGAACGGAAUUCCUGGUGUAGCGGUGAAAUGCGCAGAUAUCAGGAGGAACACCGAUGGCGAAGGCAGGUCUCUGGGCAUUAACUGACGCUGAGGAGCGAAAGCAUGGGGAGCGAACAGG
rnacentral:rRNA from 1 species